AGUGAACGCUGGCGGUAGGCCUAACACAUGCAAGUCGAACGGCAGCACAGUAAGAGCUUGCUCUUACGGGUGGCGAGUGGCGGACGGGUGGGGAAUACAUCGGAAUCUACUUUUUCGUGGGGGAUAACGUAGGGAAACUUACGCUAAUACCGCAUACGACCUACGGGUGAAAUCAGGGGAUAUUCGGACCUUGCGCGAUUGAAUGAGCCGAUGUCGGAUUAGCUCGUUGGCGGGGUAAAGGCCCACCAAGGCGACGAUCCGUAGCUGGUCUGAGAGGAUGAUCAGCCACACUGGAACUGAGACACGGUCCAGACUCCUACGGGAGGCAGCAGUGGGGAAUAUUGGACAAUGGGAGCAAGCCUGAUCCAGCCAUACCGCGUGGGUGAAGAAGGCCUUCGGGUUGUAAAGCCCUUUUGUUGGGAAAGAAAAGCAGCAGGUUAAUACCCCGCUGUUCUGACGGUACCCAAAGAAUAAGCACCGGCUAACUUCGUG
rnacentral:rRNA from 1 species